GAUGAACGCUGGCGGCGUGCUUAACACAUGCAAGUCGAACGGAAAGGCUCCUGCUUGCAGGGGUACUCGAGUGGCGAACGGGUGAGUAACACGUGGGUGAUCUGCCCUUCACUUCGGGAUAAGCCUGGGAAACUGGGUCUAAUACCGGAUAGGACGAUGUUUUGCAUGCCAUUGUUUAAAGUUUUUUCGGUGUGGGAUGAGCUCUCGGCCUAUCAGCUUGUUGGUGGGGUAAUGGCCUACCAAGGCGUCGACGGGUAGCCGGCCUGAGAGGGUGUACGGCCACAUUGGGACUGAGAUACGGCCCAGACUCCUACGGGAGGCAGCAGUGGGGAAUAUUGCACAAUGGGCGCAAGCCUGAUGCAGCGACGCCGCGUGGGGGAUGACGGCCUUCGGGUUGUAAACUGCUUUCGCUAGGGACGAAGCGCAAGUGACGGUACCUGGAGAAGAAGCACCGGCUAACUACGUG
rnacentral:rRNA from 1 species